rnacentral:rRNA from 1 species
GGCGCAAGCCUGAUGCAGCGACGCCGCGUGAGGGAUGAAGGCCUUCGGGUUGUAAACCUCUUUCAGCAGGGAAGAAGCGCAAGUGACGGUACCUGCAGAAGAAGCGCCGGCUAACUACGUGCCAGCAGCCGCGGUAAUACGUAGGGCGCAAGCGUUGUCCGGAAUUAUUGGGCGUAAAGAGCUCGUAGGCGGUUUGUCGCGUCUGCUGUGAAAACUCGAGGCUCAACCUCGGGCUUGCAGUGGGUACGGGCAGACUAGAGUGCGGUAGGGGAGACUGGAAUUCCUGGUGUAGCGGUGGAAUGCGCAGAUAUCAGGAGGAACACCGAUGGCGAAGGCAGGUCUCUGGGCCGCAACUGACGCUGAGGAGCGAAAGCAUGGGGAGCGAACAGGAUUAGAUACCCUGGUAGUCCAUGCCGUAAACGUUGGGCACUAGGUGUGGGGCUCAUUCCACGAGUUCCGUGCCGCAGCAAACGCAUUAAGUGCCCCGCCU